AGAGAGCUUGCUUUCUCGAGCGAGUGGCGAACGGGUGAGUAACGCGUGAGGAACUUGCCUCAAAGAGGGGGACAACAGUUGGAAACGACUGCUAAUACCGCAUAAGCCCACAGGUCGGCAUCGACCAGAGGGAAAAGGAGCAAUCCGCUUUGAGAUGGCCUCGCGUCUGAUUAGCUAGUUGGUGAGGUAAUGGCCCACCAAGGCGGCGAUCGGUAGCCGGACUGAGAGGUUGAACGGCCACAUCGGGACUGAGGCACGGCCCAGACUCC
rnacentral:rRNA from 1 species